rnacentral:rRNA from 1 species
UACGUAGGGGGCUAGCGUUGUCCGGAAUCAUUGGGCGUAAAGCGCGCGUAGGCGGCCAGAUAAGUCCGGUGUGAAAGCCACAGGCUCAACCUGUGAAUGCCGCUGGAAACUGUCUGGCUAGAGUCCGGGAGGGGCGAGUGGAAUUCCUGGUGUAGCGGUGAAAUGCGCAGAUAUCAGGAGGAACACCAAUGGCGAAGGCAGCUCGCUGGAACGGAACUGACGCUGAGGCACGAAAGCGUGGGGAGCGAACAGG